rnacentral:rRNA from 1 species
AUUGAACGCUGGCGGCAUGCCUUACACAUGCAAGUCGAACGGCAGCGGGGGAGAAGCUUGCUUUUCCUGCCGGCGAGUGGCGAACGGGUGAGUAAUACAUCGGAACGUGCCCUGUAGUGGGGGAUAACUAGUCGAAAGAUUAGCUAAUACCGCAUACGACCUGAGGGUGAAAGUGGGGGACCGCAAGGCCUCAUGCUAUAGGAGCGGCCGAUGUCUGAUUAGCUAGUUGGUGGGGUAAAGGCCUACCAAGGCGACGAUCAGUAGCUGGUCUGAGAGGACGAUCAGCCACACUGGGACUGAGACACGGCCCAGACUCCUACGGGAGGCAGCAGUGGGGAAUUUUGGACAAUGGGCGAAAGCCUGAUCCAGCCAUGCCGCGUGUCUGAAGAAGGCCUUCGGGUUGUAAAGGACUUUUGUCGGGGAGGAAAUCCCCAGCGUUAAUACCGCUGGGGGAUGACAGUACCUGAAGAAUAAGCACCGGCUAACUACGUGCCAGCCGCCGCCGUAA